rnacentral:lncRNA from 1 species
UGAGGUUCAAUGGAUGUAUACGGUCACGGAGGGUGGGGCUAGAGACGACAAUCUUCUUGUCUCCCUUUCGAACGACGGCAUCGUCGCUGGGGGUUCUCUCUCAUGCCGUCGGAGAUCAUUGCUGUUGAGUGUUUUGAGUUGGUUCGUGGUUGGAUUCUCUGUCCGGUUCAGGUUUGGGAAUGGCAGCUGGAAGCUGUAGGAGCCGUUGCAACAAGGUUUGAGGGCGCCUUUCUCUCGGUAGCUCGCGGUGCCCGAUUCCCUUCCCCGAUCGCUUCCGGUUCUUUGGUCUGACACUGUUUUGUUGCUUGCUGGGUAUUGUGCCGGUUAGGCCAUUGUUAGGAGUUAAGGUCUUUAUCGUUGUAGGUUGUGUUUAGUUUAUUUACUGCAUCCCGCUACUAGUGUCUAUGUAAUUUCUGUAAAAAAUUGAAAACUUGGUAUAAUAAUUUAACAUUUUAC